GUUUGGCACCUCGAUGUCGGCUCAUCACAUCCUGGGGCUGAAGUCGGUCCCAAGGGUAUGGCUGUUCGCCAUUUAAAGUGGUACGCGAGCUGGGUUUAGAACGUCGUGAGACAGUUCGGUCCCUAUCUGCCGUGGGCGUUGGAAGAUUGAAGGGGGCUGCUCCUAGUACGAGAGGACCGGAGUGGACGAACCUCUGGUGUUCGGGUUGUGUCGCCAGACGCAUUGCCCGGUAGCUAAGUUCGGAAUCGAUAACCGCUGAAAGCAUCUAAGCGGGAAGCGAGCCCUGAGAUGAGUCUUCCCUGAUACUUUAAGUAUCCUAAAGGG
rnacentral:rRNA from 1 species